AUUGAACGCUGGCGGCAUGCCUUACACAUGCAAGUCGAACGGCAGCACGGGUGCUUGCACCUGGUGGCGAGUGGCGAACGGGUGAGUAAUACAUCGGAACGUACCUUAUCGUGGGGGAUAACGCAGCGAAAGCUGUGCUAAUACCGCAUACGCCCUGAGGGGGAAAGCGGGGGAUCGAAAGACCUCGCGCGAUUAGAGCGGCCGAUGCCUGAUUAGCUUGUUGGUGGGGUAAAAGCCCACCAAGGCGACGAUUAGUAGCUGGUCUGAGAGGACGAUCAGCCACACUGGGACUGAGACACGGCCCAGACUCCUACGGGAGGCAGCAGUGGGGAAUUUUGGAUAAUGGGGGCAACCCUGAUCCAGCAAUGCCGCGUGAGUGAAGAAGGCCUUCGGGUUGUAAAGCUCUUUUGUCAGGGAAGAAACACCGGCUCUAACACAGUCCGGGAAUGACGGUACCUUGAUAAGAAGCACCGGCUAACUACGUGCCAGCCGCCGCAGUAA
rnacentral:rRNA from 1 species